rnacentral:rRNA from 1 species
GGUGGUCAGGUAGAGAAUACCAAGGCGCUUGAGAGAACUCGGGUGAAGGAACUAGGCAAAAUGGUGCCGUAACUUCGGGAGAAGGCACGCUGAUAUGUAGGUGAAGUCCCUUGCGGAUGGAGCUGAAAUCAGUCGAAGAUACCAGCUGGCUGCAACUGUUUAUUAAAAACACAGCACUGUGCAAACACGAAAGUGGACGUAUACGGU